CACACCGACUUUGGUGCCGAAAUCCCACCCUUGUAGCCAAUGCGUCGGCCUCUCUGGUCAGUGUUCCCAGUGUGUCACAGAUGGGCUACGACAGAAACAAGAUGGACACACACCUUUCCAUGAUGUCCAAGUGAUGAAAAAUGGCCUCCGAGGGAAACCGUGAGAGCGACCACCACGCAGCUGCGGGUGAAGCCGGGGAGCUUUCAAGUCCCGAAGAUCUGCGUUCAAAUCCGGUUCUGCCUUAUACCUUUCAUAUGACCCUGCAGAAGGCACUCAGCUGAGGACAUCCCAAACCUGACAAUGUCACACACCCGAAAGUUUGAGGCCUGUCCAGACUCCCAGCUCUCGUCCUGUCACCUGUAACAGAAUGAGACCCAGCCUCCACUUCACGACAACAUCCAUGACUGCCUUAGUGUGCUUCGAAGUCAAGGACGUCCCGAGACCACAGAACCAGUCUGAGCUUCUGGCCCAGCAGCACGCUUGCAGGUGGCAUAAAGUAGGCUCCCCGGCAGAGUCACACUCCCACCAGCAGGAAGAAGAUGGACAAAGAGACUCUCCUGUAGAAGGGCACAACCUGGAAGUCAGACCGUCCCUUCUCUUCCUACUGACCAGAAUGCAGCCAUGUGACCAACUCAAACCAUGGACAUGUGAGAAGGCAAGUGCUUAGUCAGGCACAAGUGCCCAUGAAGAACAGGUCAACUUUCUAACCACAACUCGUGACCAGUGUGUGGAGUGGGUACCCCAGAUGCCACAAGACGCACGGCUGCUGAUAUCACCAUUAGCAGAGUUUUGAGCAAAACAAAUACGAACUCCCCCUUGACCACGUUGUUGAGAAUCCCUGGAAGGCAGCUGUGUCUGCAGAACUGACUGGUUAGCACUGAGCUGGCGCGGAGAGGUUGGAACGUGACAGGUUCAGAAGCUAAUUACCUUAUCUCGGGCUGGUCCUCGUCCUCUGCAGCAGCCGUUCCUUGCCCGCCUCUGUGUGUGAACUAACAACGUAGGACUAACAGAUGACUGGAAUCUAACUCAGCUUCCACCAACCCCAAAGCUAGGAAUGUCAUCAGACAGCAUCGGAGGCCUGUAGAAAAGCUUCCCCAUCUCUCUGCAGCCGCCUUUCUGUUGUUCCCACCCAUGUACUCUAAACCUGCCUUGAUUCAUGACUUUCUCUGUUCUGUAAAGCUAUAAAAACGUCAUGAAACUGCUUCCACUUUGGAACAUGGAAUUUAGGGUAACCUAAAUCUGCAUUCCCUGGCGAGGGUCACUCAAAAUGGCUACAGAAUAAACUGCCUCUUAUCCCCUUUAGGGUAAGAGUUGUCAUUUUGGUUUGGUGUUUUGCCUUGAGAGUUAACGCCAUGGCCACCGCCCAUCUGCUUCCUGGUCCCCUGCCAUGUGAGUGGCCUCCACUCCACACCACUGCUACCAUGCCCAGGGCUGCUCCCCCCUCCACCACCACCCCGAGCCUUGUCGCUGUGAUGGACUGAAAUUCUCUGAGACCAUGAGGCAGAGAUUCUUUCCUCCCCCAAGUUUCUCCAUCAGGCUUUUUAGGUACAGCAAUUCAAAAGUCACCAACACACCAGGAAAGCGAGGAACUGUCUAAACUGGGCCAUCGCUGGUCCCACGUAAAGUGGAGCUUCCAUUGGGAUUGAUGAUAUAAAAUAGCAAUUCUGCUUUGAAGAAGGAAGGAAACCGUUUGUUGUAAGCCACAGAUGAGCAGCCCUGAGCCAGAACACUGAUCCAGCCGAACCUGAUUGCUCUGCCAGCUUUAGAGCCACGGGUAAAGGAAAGUUAUGAACAAGUCAAGGUGUUUGUCAAUACAUUGGAGGGGAAGGAGCAUAAGGAGGCGGGGAAACUGGGGCCAGGACCUGAGAAGAGAGAGAUGCCCUCACUCUGGGAUCCUGCUGAAGCCUUCUCCAGCAGUGAAGCGGGAAUUCUGCAACAGUAACCAAUGACUCCAGGGCCUUCUCCCUUCCCACGAUGCACCUGCAGACUUCCAGAGAUCUCUCUAGAAACCCUGUUUGCAGAGAGAGAAGAGGUGGGAUGGAGAGGUUUCUUAGCAACUGCUGAGAUGUAACUUGAGAACCUCUCUCUCUCUCUCUCUCUCUCUCUCUCUCUCUCUCUCUCUGUCUCUCUCUGUCUCUCUCUCUCUCUCUGAAAAGCCCAUCCCCACCUAGGGCAGGUCUUACUUUCCCUUCUCCUCUUGGGAAGCCCAUCCUCCACCAUGAAUGUCUUAGUCUCUUCUAAGCACCUCUUUCUUCUCCUAACCCCCACACUCA